UGAGCCCCGCCGGGAGCUAAGACCAGUUUUGAUCAUUAAGGCCAUUCAUUAUGGGAGAAUGGAUCCUCAAAGGACAGCUGCCGCCAUCCGCUUGGCCCGUGCCUCAAGAGGCGUAUCGUCAUCCACCGUUAGGGGAGCGUGUUAGAUAAUACGCUUAAUGCUAGAGGGGGGGGGGGGGAAUAGCGUAAUAAUAAAAUUUAGCGUAAACUUGCGGAAAUUAAAAUUUGUAGGAAAUAAAUAAGUGCGUUAAAUAAACAAAAAGGAAAGAACGCACCGAUAUAUUCUGGUUCACCACAACACGUGGCUAGUCCAGUCCCCN
rnacentral:lncRNA from 1 species